GCCCCGUUCGUCUAGAGGCCCAGGACGCCGGCUUCUCAUGCCGGUAACAGGGGUUCGAAUCCCCUACGGGGUA
rnacentral:tRNA from 1 species